GAUGAACGCUGGCGGCGUGCCUAAUACAUGCAAGUCGAGCGAACAGACGAGGAGCUUGCUCCUCUGACGUUAGCGGCGGACGGGUGAGUAACACGUGGAUAACCUACCUAUAAGACUGGGAUAACUUCGGGAAACCGGAGCUAAUACCGGAUAAUAUAUUGAACCGCAUGGUUCAAUAGUGAAAGACGGUUUUGCUGUCACUUAUAGAUGGAUCCGCGCCGCAUUAGCUAGUUGGUAAGGUAACGGCUUACCAAGGCAACGAUGCGUAGCCGACCUGAGAGGGUGAUCGGCCACACUGGAACUCAGACACGGUCCAGACUCUUACGGGAGGCAGCAGUAGGGAAUCUUCCGCAAUGGGCGAAAGCCUGACGGAGCAACGCCGCGUGAGUGAUGAAGGUCUUCGGAUCGUAAAACUCUGUUAUUAGGGAAGAACAAAUGUGUAAGUAACUAUGCACGUCUUGACGGUACCUAAUCAGAAAGCCACGGCUAACUACGUG
rnacentral:rRNA from 1 species